CCUACGGGUGGCAGCAGUAGGGAAUAGUGCUAAAUGGGGGAAACCCUGAAGCAGCAACGCCGCGUGGAGGAUGAAGGUUUUCGGAUUGUAAACUCCUUUUGUUAGAGAAGAGAAUGACGGUAUCUAACGAAUAAGCACCGGCGAACGCCGUGCCAGCAGCCGCGGUAAGACGGAGGGUGCAAGCGUUCCUCGGAAUCACUGGGCGGACAGAGCGCGUAGGCGGGAUAGCAAGUCAGAUGUGAAAUCCUAUGGCUUAACCCUAGAACUGCAUUUGAAACUGUUAUUCUAGAGUAUGGGAGCGGUCGGUGGCAUUCUUGGUGUCGUGGUCACAUCCGUCGAGCUC
rnacentral:rRNA from 1 species